rnacentral:rRNA from 1 species
UCUUCGGAGAUACACGAGUGGCGAACGGGUGCGUAACGCGUAUGCAACCUACCUUUAACAGAGAGAUAGCCCUGAGAAAUUGGGAUUAAUAUCACAUAAUAUCAUAAUGCAGCAUCGUAUAAUGAUUAAAGCUCCGGCGGUUAAAGAUGGGCAUGCGUGACAUUAGUUAGUUGGUGAGGUAACGGCUCACCAAGACUUCGAUGUCUAGGGGUUCUGAGAGGAUUAUCCCCCACACUGGUACUGAGACACGGACCAGACUCC